CUUUGGGAUGCUGAAGAAAAGGAAAAACUAAUAAACCUUGGGACAGGCAUUCAAGCUCUUUCCUGUGGUCUAUACCUGGCAUCCAGGCUGGAUUCUGGAUAGAAGGACUUCAGCCUUAAGAGGGCACCUCAACCACCACCAUGAAAGGGACAAUUCUCCAAACAAGCCUUGGAUCUAUAGACCCCUGGGCUGCCUUCCACCAGUAAGACUUGCACAGAUUCUGAAGAGAUCAGCUAUUUUCUCUGUCUUUUCUCUGAUUGAUUAUAACAACAGAAUCCAGAUUAUCCAGUUAAUAAAUGAAUGACAUCAGGGAACAAAAUAGCCAUUCUAUCCUUUUCGUAAGUAGGUAGCAAAACUGCCAAUCUGU